AUCUAACCGGUUCAUGCAGAUGAUGAUUGGUGUGUUCACGGAACAUCUGUGAAAGGUGCUGCCACUUGUUACGCAUAGCGCCUCAGCCUGUCUGAUC